GUGGCUCAUCUAGAGAGGACCUCGGGAGGCCACCCCCCUGGUGCACACCCUGGCCCACCUGCUCGCCCGCACUCACACCCAUUACUUUUCUUCCAUCCCUGCGAGGGGGUUAAACGGGUUUCGCCCGAAACCCUCUAGUCCAAGCCUUAAGGGACGGACGCCCACCUUCCUGGCUGAACUGUCUCCUCUUUCCCCCGCCCCUAAUGAGGCUCCCUCUGAAGCCGAGGCCAGGAACCUGGAUGGAGGUUGAGGAAAUAUGAAAGUGAAAUGGGAGAGCCUCCCGUGAAGGAGCAGCGAGAUCUUCUUGGCCUCUGGCCCAAACAUCCAAAAUUGGCUUCCAGUCAGUUGGUGUAGGAAGAAUGGGAUCUCUCAAAGGACCUGGGGCUUGGCCCCCAUCUGAGGUAACUUGGAGUUGGACAAGUGCUCUGCAUAUAUUUUCAAAGCACUUUGUGCUUCUUGGCAUCAGUUAACAAUUUCAUGCA